CGAGCCCCGAACUUGCGGGAAGAAAGGACUGCCCCCUUCCAACCCGUUCGGGUUGGUUUGCGCUGGAACGCCACGCUUUUCAAAGUGUCUGAGUGAUAGGUACUUUCUAAAUAUGUACAGCGAUGGCCUGAUAAGCAACUAAGCGUCUGGCUUCGCGGGUUCAUGCCCGAGGCUGUGCGGUCGGGGGAGGCUGGGGGCUCAGCCGAAACCUCAGCUCCUCCUUACAGGCCUGGUUUGGAAACGGGCUGUACACUGCUGGGGGCCCCACUUUCCAAUGUUUACUUCUGAGAUUGGAAGAAGAAGACAAGAAACACCUCCUCACCCCCUACCCUCUGCCUCCACGCCCGCGACUCAGCCCAGGUGACCCAAACGGCAGAGUCAACUUGGCGCAACCGGAGCGUCCCCAUCGCGCCGGCCACCCCCAGCCCCCUUCGCCCCUCGCUUGGCCCCACAAUGCGCCGUUGUGCCGCGCCUGCCGUCAGGCCGGGGAUUUGGAGCAGGGAUGGGGGGAAUAUUCGUCAGAUAUUUAAAACAGAGCCGAGAGAACAAAGCAGGCCUUUGUGCAGCAGGGCGGCCCGGGAGCUGGGAGCCGCCGGCCCCCAAGCACUGUGCUGGGCCAGGAGAGUGCGCAUGCGCGCGGCGACCUGUGCGCUCGGGUUCUGUGCCGGCUUUUACCCCAGCUGAAUAACCUGGUGGUCACAAGAAAGCAAAGGGAUUUUUAUGUGACAUCAUCUUGGCAAGAAGCUCCCUUACCAACCUUGACCUCCAGGUCUCCAUGGCAACUGCUGCUGGGACAUCAUUGGCACCAGAUUGUGUCCCUUAAAGGCCACACUGCAGCAAGGGCAGAUAAACAAUUUCAUGGCAACAGUCACGUAGCAAUCUCAUUCUUAAAUGUGGGCUGGUUAGUUAGGAUGAUGUAAGUGGUUUUUUCCACUCUCUUCCGCAUUCUGACUCCAGAAUUCUGGGCCUAGGACAUAGUCAAAGAAUGUACCUUGGGGUAUGAGUGACUUGCUUGACCAACAGAAUAUGCUAGGAGCAACAUUCUGGAACUUCCAAGGCUUGGUUGUAAGAAGCUUUGCAAUAUCUGCCUGGAUCUCUUAGAACCUUCAAUAUGGGACACUUGCUCUAGAAAUCAGCCACCAUCCUGUGAGAAGUCCAAGCCACAGAGUGAGGCCAGAAAUAGUUGCUGCAGUCAAGAGCCCCAGCUGAGCUCUCAGCCAACAUUCAGCAUCACUGCCAGCCAUGUGAGUGAGUGAUGGUGACCUUGGAUGUCCAGCUCAGUAGAACCUUCAGAUGAUUUCAGCCCUAGCCGUUCCAACUGCAAGACAUCCUGAGUGAGCUGAGCCCAGUCAACAGAGAUGUGAGAGAUAAAAAUGCAUUGUUUUGAGACACUAAGUUUUAGAGUGUCUGUUGUGUAGCAGUAGGUAGUUCAAGAGGAAUGAAAUGCUAGAUGGGGUAUGGAAGAUAGGAGAGGACCUCCUGAUAGCUCAGCUACUUUGAAAGGCUUUAUUUAUCAGGAUUUUUUGCCCCUGCAUCCCACCAACACCAUCCCUGCUUUCUGAGCUGUGCCUGGCACACUGCACCACACAAACCUUGCACUGCUCACUAACUGUGCCAUGUAUAUAAGCCUCCUCAGCCCGAUGGUGGACACCUUGAAGAUAGGGACCUAUAUGAUUUGAUUCCUACCCUCCUUAGCACUGACAGAUUUGUCAAGCUGUUCCAGUGGAUAAAUACGGGGGAUAACUGCUGGAACAGCAUCUUGAGGUGUUUAUAUGGCUUGGCUUCUGAUCUUUGACAUUUGAUAACUGAUGAACAUGCUAUUUGGGCCCACCCAGGAGCCAGCCACACCAUGGGGGAGUCUGAACCUCACCCACACUGUGGCCACUCAGGGGAAGGAGACCAGGGCCAAGAACGCAGUUGCUAACCUCCUGCUUAGAUUUGCUUCUUGCGGGGCAGCCCUGGAAACCCAAAGAAGAGCUAAAACUGUGUGGAUGAGAGAAAACCUUCAGAACCCAUUCAUAGAGAUACCAGGAGCAGCUGAGAACCCAUUGUAGGAAGGACACAUGUUCAAGACCUCCCCCAUCUGCCCAUCUAGGGACAUGGAUGUUUAACAUGCUAGGGUCAGAAGUGGGAACAUAGGUCAGCUUGAGUAGAACCUGGUGCCUGUGCAGGAACCCUGCCUUCUGUGGGCCCAGCUACUCGGGAGGCCAAAGAGGGAGGAUGGCUUGGGUCUGGGAGGUCGAGGCUGCAGUGAGCUAUGUUUGCACCACUGCACUACAGCCUGGGCAACAGAGUGAGACCCUGUUUCAUAAAAAAUAAAUAAAAAUAGAAAGCCUGGCGAGCCCAGUGUCUACUCAGAGCUUAGGAGAGAGGGAGGAGAAAAGCAGGAUGAGGGCAGCUUGGGAGGCGGUCCUUCAUUCUGCCAAUAAACAUUAUUUUGUGAAUCAGGCCUGGCUUGAGGCACAGCGUAUGCAGAAAAGUUCAAGGGAGACAGAGUCCCUGCUCUCAGGUAAAAUGCCUGGAGGAGUUGUAGCUCCGAUACACAUCUCACGACAUGGGCAGAGCUUGGCUGACCAUGGGUGUAGGGGAGCUAUGGCCUUCCCUCCUCAUUAUAUCCCAGUCUUCCAACUUUGUGAAAGACCUGGAAUUCCCAUGCUAUAAGGUGGUAUGAGUGUGGGCACUAGGGCUGGGACUAGUCCAGGUCCCAGCUCCACCACUUAUUGGCUGUGUGACCUCGUGCAAGCUACUUAAACUCUCUGAACCUUUAGCAUCUUAUCAGUAAAAAUAAGAACAGUAACAGUUCUUCAUCUCAGGGUUGUCUGAGGAUUUCAUAAGAUCCUCCUGGCAAAGUGACCCCUUAGCUCCAUGUGUGGCACCUGCAGGCGCUUCGGAACCACCGGCUCCUAUCCUAUGUACUCCCACGAGGCAUGGGAGGGCUCUGGAUAUGAAAUUAUCUGCAAGGUCCAAGUAACUUUUGCUUAGAAAAAACAAAAGGGAUGAUGAGGGAAGAAGUCUCACUUAGGAACGAAAUUGCCUGGGGCCCUGUUUCCUGAGAGGAUCGCGCAGGAGUCAUAUGACAUUGGUCUGACUUUCCUGAACUGCCCACGCAUGCGCUGAGUUUCAACAGCACCGAGAACCUAGGCUUCUCUUCCUGAAACUUAGGAGAAGCUUGGGCUUCCCUCUGGCCAGUCCAGAGGUGGUUCCCAGGUAAUUGCCUGGUCCAAGAGCCACAGAGGAUUUGGAAUUAUGAGGGUAGGGAACUGCGGUUAGGGGGAUCCCAGAGUCUCAGGAAGCAUUUCAGUUCCAUCCCUUGACCCCACUUCAUGCUCUGGCAUAUCGAGGGCCCGGAAGUGCUAGGAGAGCUGUGAUUGGCAGGCCUCACUCCCUGCCCACCUUCCCUCUUAGCUUCCCCAGAACCAUAGCCCCCUUUAGACUGGGCAUAUGGGCAGAUAACAAAGGAUAUCAUGCUGGGGACGUAUUUCUGAGAGGGGGUGACUGCCCUUGCCCCUAAGUAUGAGUUGCCUUUUCCAAAUAUCCCCACAAUGUAAAGUGAUCGGCAAAGGGGACCACAGCCCUUGGUUCUACACCCAUCAAACAUGUGCUGAAAUCAGAUUCUUUUCUAAGCAACACAUCCAUAUUAUGCCACCAUUCAGACGAAACCAAGAGCUAAUCAUCCUGAGUAUGAGAUGUGUUCUCUGGUGAGAUGCCUGGACCUCCACAGGGGAGGUUGUUCUCUUGAGAAAAUGCCGACUUCCCCUCGUCUUUCAGAGGCCCCCUUCCUGACCAAAAGGCUCAAGGUGCGUGUUGGAGAGGGAAGGGAAAGAAGAUGCUUGUUGCUGUUCAUUACGGACAGGUUCCCCAAGAGUGACACCGUACUGUGGACUCAGCUUCAGGAGGAGAGAGACCAUGCCUGCAGGAAUCAAAAUGAAUCAGCACCAAUCCUGACCCAAGAUGAUAUGGGUUGACUGAAUCAGUUGUUCCUCAUCAAGUAUACUGGAAGUCAGAAUGGCUCCUCCUCCAUGAUGCCCCUGUACUUAGAGCAUCUGGCGUCUGUGAAGGGUCUAAUCCCAAGUGAGGAUUCUGCUCCUGAGACAGCCAGGACCAGACGAUUGCCAAGGUCCCUCCAGCCUAAAGGCAGUGACUCUAGAACAGAUGGGGCUGGAUGGUAACAGGGUAACUGGAGCUCAGGAAUGGAGGCCAGGUUAGAGGCAUGCUUGCCCAGUCAUUCCAGGUGCCCAGGUUCCAGGCUUAUCCCUCUUUAGGAGAGAAGUAAAGACAUGAAGAGGAACCCUCUGUGGGCCUGUGCUGACCCAUCUGCCACCCCCAACCAGAGGCAUGAGUGACAUGGGAAAGGGGAGUGGCGUUGGGGCUGCUUGGCCUGCCUCCUGCACCCCAAAGCUCUGGGUUCAAUUACACUCAUUGUCACUGUGCACAGAACCCACGUCACCACUGAGGAGAUCAGCUGGGCCCUGGCUGCUGACAGCUUGUUUUAUUCUUGCUAAGCCACUACAUCUUGGCUUUGUUGUUAUGUUUCCAAUAGCAACAGGAGAAAAGACAACUUUUUCUGCUUUGGGAGCUUAUUUUUUUCUCCCGUAGGAGAAAGCUCCAGCCUGAAGACUUGAUGUCCUUGGGGCCCCAAUGUGGCCUUAGCCCAGACCCUGGGGGCCAGUAAGGAGAAGUCCAGCUUAGCUCUGCCCCAGGGAAACAGCGGGUAGCUGAAGUCAUGGAGGAUCCAGGAGCCAGGAGCUAUCAACUCUUCUGGAAUUGGGCUCAGCUGCCCUUUUUAGUUUUGAAUGGCUACAAAAUAUCCACAGUGGCUUGGGUAGGCCUAAAGCAUAGACAGUGGAGAAAGGAAAAGGAGAGAAAAAAGGAACUUAAGAGUAGAGGAGAAAGGAGUGGGAGAGAAUGGCAAGAGAAGAAAGGUGGCUGUGGAGAAGUGCAGUGACACCAUCAGCACCCUUGGGCAUCACUUGGCAUUUGAAGCCAAAGAGGAUGACCCCACAGGCCUGGAUGAAAAAUAUAGAGGUUCUCUCUGGCAAGGGGCUUUUGCUUUCCAUUGAGAAGGAGCUGCCAUCAUGAAUGGAUGGAUGGAUGCAUGGACAGGUGGGUGGAUGGAUGAAUGAAACAAUAAGCGUGGUAUUCCCAGGAUUGAAUGAAUGAUAAAGGAAGGAAAAAUAAGUGAGAAGUGAGAGAAUCCAAUGAGGGGUUAAGCCAUCUUAGGCAGGGAUUGCCAAGGAGUGGUUUGGGAGGGCCUUGCCCCGUCCCCUCCAGUCUCCAUUGGCUUCCCCUAAAGUCUUUCUAAGUAAAUAAACAUGCAAUCUAAGUGGAAAAAUAGAGUGUUUACUAUACAAAACAGCCUGAUGAAAACCCCCUGGCUCCUGUAUCAGCCAAUAUUCCAUCCAUAGGUUCUCCUUUACAGAAACUCCCGAGCUGCCACUCAUCAACUACAAGGCAUUGUGUCUGCUUUUUCCAAAUCCCAUCCCAGACCAAUUGUAUUCAGGCUGUGGACAGACAGGUGAGGACCUGAAACAUGAUUAAAGGAUAUAGGGAAAAUAAACUUUAGAUUCACUUGAGAAUAGGAAGAGUUAAAGGGCCUUAAGCCUUUCAGUCACUCCUACUUAGGGAUUUGGGGUAUUAAUUAACAAUAGCAAAUCAUUGGGUAGAUUGUCUCUGCUCUCCCUUCAGUAAAAAAUGUCAGGUAUAGGCAUUUCUUCCUAUGCCCAGUAGGAAUAGUUCACUGGGGCCAGGAUCAAGGGUUAGGGGUCAAAGGACUAUACUCUCUAAGCCUUGAACCAAUAAUGUGAGCAGCUAGUGCAGAAGUGAGCAAGGCUCUUCUUUCAUGGAAGGUUCUUAUCAGAAACCAGAGCUGUCUGGAGGGACACAGUGAGUCAGAUUACAACAGCUACCCAUGGUGGGGACAGGUCAGAAGGGGUCACGCAGAGGCUGUAGGGAAGGUUGCUAUUCUUAGGCCCCUACUAUCUCAGGCGUCUGCUGACUCACUUGGGAAUCUCUGGACUCCUGGGUAGAUCCAGUCCAAUAACCUGCCUAGUUCUUGGGUAAGCCUGUAUUGCCUUUAAUGAUAAUAAAUAACAAGAAAAUAUAGACUUUUUCUCUAAAAGAAAGAUGCAAUAUCAUGUUUAAGCCUAUGCAAGAGGAAGGGUAAGGAGGUCUGAUUCCCAGAGAAGCAUCAAUCUUACCUCAGAUCUUGGAAAGACUCCUGGAAGGAAAGGGAGAGAGAGAGAGGCUAACCCCGGGGUAGUGGCCCUGGAGGCUUUGGUACUGAGUCACAACAUGGGUAGGGGAAAGGUACAUUAUAUUUGGGGCAAGGAUCAAGUGAAAGUCUAGGAAAAACAUCAACCUUGGAGACUGAAUAGGCUUGCCACAUUAGAAGCCUCAAAAGGGGACUUAAGUGUCCCUUUGAUUAAGGAGAAGACAGAAAAGGUGCACUAUGCAGAAAAUAACCUCCUCAGGAAGGCAAGUACGUUUAAUGGGUUUUCACAGAAAGGUGGGAGACCAUUUCAUUUUCCCUUUCUUAGGACAGGGAUCUGGGGAUGUUUGCCUGAGAGGUUAUAUGUUCGUUGUGGCCUAAUGUCUUUCAGAGUAGACUGUCACCAACUCUUUGACUCCUCCUGCUCAUGGAUUCCUUCCACCAUACCUUUGGUUUCCAUUUCUAAAUGUGCUUCAGCCUGGGGGAGGCUGCAGUAAAUGACUCUGUCUAACUUGCUUCCUUGACCUUAGGACUAACCUUUUAAAACUCAUGACUUUUCCUUCUUUAUUUAAAAUCUCUAUCUUUUAACUUUUUUUUUUCUUUUUUUUUUUGAGAUGGAGUCUCACUCUGUCACCCAGGCUGGAAUGCAGUGGUGCGAUCUCACUCACUGCAAGCUCCACCUCCCAGGUUCACGCCAUUCUCCUGCCUCAGCCUCCUGAGUAGCUGGGACUACAGGCGCCUGGAUAAUUUUUUUGUAUUUUUAGUAGAGAUGGGGUUUCACCGUGUUAGCGAGGAUGGUCUCGAUCUCUGGACCUCGUGAUCCACCCACCUCAGCCUCCCAAAGUGCUGGGAUUACAGGCGUGAGCCACCACGCCCAGCCUUUUAACUUUUUAAUUUACUCAUUCUAUUGAUUUGUCUUUCUAGUUAAAAAAUAAAAAAAUAAAUCUUCUCCAGGGAGCAUGUGUCAGGAGGGAAAAGAGUCCCUUGUGUGUUAAGCCCUACUGGCUAGGGUUAAAAGCUGAGUUGCUUGUGUGAACUUGACCUUGAGCAUGAUCCCCAAAUGAUAGUUGUCUCUACGUGAGUGGUCUUUAUCUGGCCUCCUCCUCUCUUAGCACUGACCAGGCUAUAUCUGUGGCUAAGACCUAGAGGAAAAGACUUGGGUUAGCCUGUGAAGCAGAGCAGCUGAGCUAGGAAUUCUAAGAAUGGGGGACAAAAGAAAAAAAAAGGUAGGGAAGGUGGAGGGGGCACUUCUUUCCUCAGGUCUGCUGUUAUGGUACAGCCUCCUGAAUUUGAGUUUCUCAAGUAGUCAGGGCUAGGCUCAAGUUGUCAGGGCUAGGCUAAGGGCAAACUGAGGCUAGAGUCAGUAAAGUGAUCUGCCUAUGGUCUUACAAUUACUGGGCAGUAGAUGGUUUACAUUUAGAGGCAGCAUCAACAACCCUGUAGUAUCAGUUAGAAUUCUGGUGGGGAAAAAGAGGAGAAUUUAAUGAAGGGAUUAUUUAUCAAGCUAUGGACAGGAUUUAGGGGAACUAACAAAGGAAGGUGCAAUACUUUAAGCUUAAUCACAUUGAAGAGGCAUUACCCUCCCUAAAUCCAAAGGGUCAAGAGGAAGGAAUAGUUAGGAGAAUCCACAGAGAGUACCUGUAAGGAGAGGGCCUCCCAAUAGGAUGGUGACAGUGCAACUUUUGGUAGAGGGGCAAAACUAAUUCACAGUGAUUUGACAGGAAAGGAUCUAGGGGAAUAAACAUCCUUUCUGUCUUGUAGUUUCCUGUUUGUGUCUCUUUUUGCCUGAGCACAACUAGAAACUAGAGGUCAAUGGUGCCCCAUUGAUGCAAUCUAGACAGGUUGACAGGCCAAAGGGUGGCGAGUGAAUCUGGAGAGCAAAUGUAAGAUAGCCAGCCACCUGGGAACACAGAUGAGAUUUGUUUGUAGUAAUUUCCAAAAUUUUUUGCCUCUGUCUCCAUUGCCAUACCUGUUCCUGCAUGGCUUGCAGAUGCUAGAGUUUUUCUGCUGCUUCCUUAUAUCUUGGAACCCCCAGCCAGGUUAUCAGGUCUAGUUUCUGGGCCUGCCUGCUAUCAUUCAUCAUUUCUUUAUCAAAACCUGUUCUUAAGAUUUUUGCUUCUGGCCAUGACAAAGCAACAGGAUCCAGAUUUACCCUCCCCCUGUAUCCCUUGGGAUUUGAAGCCAAAGAGGAUGACCCCGCAGGCCUGGAUGAAAAAUAUAGAGGUUGGCCUGGCCAACAUGGUGAAACCCUGUCUCUACCAAAACUAGAAAACAACAAAAUAAAUGUACUGACGGCUUCAGAUAUUGUACAACACACAGUGCAGAACUAUGACCCAUGAGAUAAAGAAAAUACAUGUGGUAAAUGAUCAUGACAGUUUCUGAUUGGAGGCACAUUCUGGACUUUACAGCAGGGGAAACAAUAUCCCAAGCACAGUAUGGUAGUCUUGUUAAGUUAAAAUACAGAAAUGAAGGUCAAGGAGACUGUAGUUGGAAACUGUGGGGCAGAAUUCUAGAAAAGAGGGGACCAUGUAAAAAAAGCUCCAGAAAUCUGCACAAGUGCCCUGUUGAGUGCUUAAUACUAAGAUGUUCAUACCCAGAGUGAAGCUUUGUAAGUCUGGGCAAAGAAUGACCAGAAGCUAUAAGCUGAAAAUUUCAGAGUUCACAUGGGAUUCUGAGAUGUAAAAAUAUCAACCAGCUUGAUCAGCUGGGGCAUUUAGUAGAGAUCCAAUGAGGUUCAUAUGCAGAUAGUAAGACUGAACUAUCCCUAGAAUAAAAGAAACGUUAGGUUCAUUCUAACAAAGCUAAAAACAAGCCUCUAAAGGAAUAAUCUUAUCCAUAAGUAACUGCCUGCUGGAUAAAAACUCAAUACUCCUUAAAGGAGGAUUUAAAAAUAUACAAACAUUCAACAAUGUAACCUUUAAAAUAUCCAACAUCUAAGCAAAAAUUACUAGACUCACCAGGUAGCAGAAAAAUGUGACCCAUAUCAGGAAAAAAGGCAAUUAAUAGAAACAUGCCUGAAAAUGACAGAGUUGAAAAGACAGAAUGAACAGACAGGCACGUUAAAACAGCUGUUUAAGUAGGCAAAAUAUACUCCAGGAUUUUAAGAAAAACAUACAUAAAAUGAGGAAAGAAUGCACUUCUUGUGGUGGAAAAGACAAUAUCUGAAAUGAAAGGUCAGUGGCUGAAAUUCAAAGCAAACUAGAUGCUACAAGGAGAAAAGUAAAACUGAAAACAGCAAUAGGAACUAUCCAAAAUGAAGCACCAAGAGGAAGAAGACUUCAAAAACAAAACAAAACAAAACAAAAAACCCAGAAAUGAACAAAGUCCCAUCAAUCCUUGAGCAAUAUCAAGUGGUCUAACAUAUGUAUAAUUGAAAAAGAAAAAAGAGGGAGAACAAAUUUUUGACAAAAAUCAAGGCUGAAAAUUUUCCAAAUUUGUUAAAAACUAUAAAUACCACAGAUCCAGGAAUCACAAUGAACCCCAAUCAAAAUAAGCAAGGGAAAUCACACCAUCAUACCAAAGUACAUCAUAAUAAAUUACUAAAAUUAGUAAUAAAGAGAAAAUCUUAAAAGUAGUCUGAAAAAAGCUGUAUUUUAUAGUGUCAUAGAGAGUAUAGGAAAUACUGCAGACUUCUGAUCAAAACAAUGCAAGCCAGAAGACAAUGGAAUACUUUCUUUGAUAUACUGAAUGAUACACAAAUCAAAUUCUGUAUCCAGCGAUAUAAUGAAGACUUUUUGAGAUAAAUGAAAGCUUAGACAAUUCACCAUCAGCAGAUCUACCCUAAAGAAAUGUUAACAUAAGUUUUUUACAAAGAAGGAAAAUAAUACUUGGAUCUACACAAAAGAAUGAAGAGCACCAGAAAUGGGAAACAUGAGGAUAAAUAUUAAAAUUUUUCAUUAAAAAUUUCUUUAAAAUAUUAAAGCAAAAAUAAUAAAGUACUGUAGAGUUCAUAACAUAUGCAGAAAUAAAAUUUAUAGCAGCAAUAGCACAAAGGACAAGAGCAUGUAGCUAAAAGUCAAUGGUCUAGAUAAAAUGAAAUAACAAAAAAGAACCCUCACUUCAAAAGAAGGCAAGGAAAGAUGCAAAAGGUAACAAAGAACAGAUGGAAUGAGUAGAAAACAAAUAGUAAGAUGACAUACCUAAACCAAACAUGUAUGUUACAUGUACUUGUAAUUAAAUGCAAAUGGUCCAAAUACCCCAAUUAAAGGUCAGGCACUAUCAGACUGGAUUUAAAAAGCAAGAAAUUCAUUUUAAAUAUAAAAACACAAAUAGUUUAAAAGUAAAAGAAUGAAAAAAGAUAUGCUGUGCAAUGCUUAUCACAAGAGAGCUGGAGUAGCUAUAUUAAUAAUAAAAAAAGAAGACUUUAGGACAAGGAAUAGCACCAGAGAUAAAGAGAGACAAUUUCAUAGUGACAAAAAGGAAAAUUUAAGCCAGGUGCAGUGGCUCACGCCUGUAAUCCCAGCACUUUGGGAGGCUGAGGCAGGCAGAUCAUGAGGUCAGGACAUCGAGACCAUCCUGGCUAACACAGUGAAACCCCAUCUCUAAUAAAAAUACAAAAAAUUAGCUGGGCGUUGUGGUGGACGCCUGUAGUCCCAGCUACUCGGGAGGCUGAAGCAGGAGAAUGGUGUGAACCCGGGAGGCAGAGCUUGCAGUGAGCAGAUAUCACGCCACUGCACUCCAGCCUGGGCGACAGAGCGAGACUCCGUCUCAAAAAAAAAAAAGAAAAAUUUAAGAAGAUUUAACAAUUCUAAAUGUUUCUGUACCUGCUAACAGAACUUCAUAAUAUAUGAAUCAAAAACUGACAAAAGUUAAAGAGGAAAUAGACAAAACCACAGUCAUAGUUUGAAUAUAUACAUUUCAUCAUUCCUCUCUCAAGAAUUAAUAAAACAAAUAGUCAGAAAAAUCAGUAAACCAGUAAGGAUACAGAUGAUCCCAGCACUUUGGGAGGCCAAGGCGGGUGGAUCACAAGGUCAAGAGAUCGAGACCAUCUUGGCCAACAUGGUGAAAUCCCAUCUCUACCAAAAAUACAAAAAUUAGCUGGGCCUGGUGGCAUGCAGCUGUAGUCCCAGCUACUUGGGAGGCUGAGGCAGGAGAAUCGCUUGAACCCAGGAGGCGGAGGUUGCAGUGAGCUGAGAUCAUGCCAGUGCACUCCAAGAAAGCUAGGUCAAUUGCUCAUAUGACUAGCAUUUCUACUCCUAGGUAUGUACCCAAGAGUAUUGAAAAUCCAUGUCCACACACACUGUAUAUGAAUGUUCAUAGCAGCAUUAUUCAUUUUAGCCAGAAAGUGGAAACAACUCAAAUGUGCAUCAACUGAUGAACAGAUAAACAAAAUGUGGUUUAUCCAUACCAUGGAAUAUUAUUCAGCUAUGAAAACAAAUGACAUUCCAAUACAUGCUACAACAUGGAUGAACCUUGAAAACACUAUGCUCACUGAAAGAAGCCAAACACAAAAGGUCACAUAUUGUAUAAUUCCAUUUAUAUGAAAUGUCCAGAAUAAGCAAAUCCAUAGAGAUGGAUAGUAGAAUAGUGGUUGCCAGAGGAAAGGGGAAGGAGGAAUGGGGAGUGACUGCCAAUGCAUAUGGAGACUCUUUUGGGGGUGAUGAAAAUAUUCGGAACUAGAUAAUGGUGAUAAUUGCACAAUUUUGUGAAUAUACUAAAAAUCAUGGAAUUGUACACUUUAAGAGGGUGAAUUUUAUGGUAUGUCAAUUAUAUCUCAAUUAAAAAAAUAAGUAUUUGGUAUAAAUGAUUUUAUGCCCCAGUGUUGAUAAUGGAUAAAGGCUUAAUGAGAGACUCUUCUCAGCAAUAUGGUUCAACUCAGACCAACUCCUCCCUACAAAGGCUACAGAAUCUAUUUUUUCAAAAAGUCCAGCUCUUAGGACCUUUGUUCUUAGCUGUGGUUGCUACCAGGCUGCCUCUGAGGCCUGAAAAAUCGUGUCAUAGGCAGUAGAGGUUGAAUUUUGUAUUUUAGUAUCUAUGCUUACUUUCCUGCAGUAUGAGUUCUUUAAAGUCUAUUGCUAACUUGCACUCAUAGGCUGAAUUGAAAGAAUAAAGGAUCACAGUGAGGCACUUUACAGUUUAUAAAAAAGCAUGUUCACAUUCACCACUCUUUUGAUUUUACGCAUUUAGAUUUAAAUUGGGCGUUCUGAAUGGCCACACAACAGCAGGCCCUAAACUCUAGCCCCAACCUCUCUGACUCCAAAAAUCGAGUCAUUCUUAAAACAACUAAAAUGUGCUUCUGAGCAAGUUAUGGAGAAAUGGGCUGCCACUCGCCCUCCCAAGAAUAUUAUGAAGGCUCUUAGCCAUUUAAGGAACAACUUCUGGCCAGGCAGGGUGGCUCACGCCUGUAAUCCCAGCACUUUGGGAGGUCAAGGCGGGUGGAUCACAAAGUCAGGAGAUCGAGACCAUCCUGGCUAACACGGUGAAACCCCAUCUCUACUAAAAAUACAAAAAAACUAGCCGGGUGUGGUGGUGGGCUCCUGUAGUCCCAGCUACUCAGGAAGCUGAGGCAGGAGAAUGGCAUGAACCUGGGAGGCAGAACUUGCAGUGAGCUGAGAUCGUGCCACUGCACUCCAGCCUGGGUGACAGAGUGAGACUCCAUCUCAAAAAAAAAAAAAGAAAAAAAGAACAACUUCCACUAACAAUCUUUUUUUUUUUGAGACAGAGUUUUGCUAUUGUUGCCCAGGCUGGAGUGCAAUGGUGUGAUCUUGGCUCACUGCAACCUCCACCUCCUGGGUUCAAGCAAUUCUCCUGUCUCAGCCUCCCAAGUAGCUGGGAUUACAGGCGUGAGUCACCAUGCCUGGCUAAUUGUUUUGUAUUAUUAGUAUAGACAGGGUUUCACCAUGUUGGGCAGGCUGGUCUUGAACUCCUGACCUCAGGUGAUCUGCCCACCUUGGCCUCCCAAAGUGCUGGGAUUACAGGCGUGAGCCACCACGCCUGGCCUCCACUAACAAUCUUAUAUUGGUCUGCAUUAUGCAGAAUGACCUGGACUAUUAGUCAUGGGGCAGGCCCAGAUGUUAAAUAGCUUGGUCCAGUAUGCUCACCUCAUUAACCAUGUGGUUUGUGGGUCCAUUUUCACUCCUGCAGGGACACACACACACAAACACACCUCUCUUUACAGCAAGAUAAAGAGUCACCUAUCUUUUCCCAGCAGUGCUCUGACCAGGGCUGAGUUCCCACUUGCAUUUCCUUCCUCCCUCUCUCCCUCCCCCUUCCUCCCUUCCCCUCUCCCUCCUUCCUUCCCUCCCUUCCUUCCUUCUUUCCUUUUUUCCUUCCUUUUUAUGGUCAAAUAUACGUAACAUAAAAUUUAUCACUGUAACCAUUUUUAACUGUACUGUUUAGGGGUGUUAAGUACAUUCUCACUGAUGUCCAGCCAUCACCAUUAUCUAUCUCCACAACUUCUUCAUCUUGAAAAACAGAAACUUUGUAUCCAUAAAACAUUAACUCCCCGUUCCCCUCUCUCCACCCCAACCUCUGGUAAUCACCACUCUACUUUCUGUCUCUGUGAAUUUGACUCCUCUAGGUACCUCAUGUAAGUGGAAUCACACAAUAUUUGUCCUUUGGCCACUUGUAUUCCUUGAUGGCAAAGAGUCAUCUUGUUCCAGAGCUGGCCCAUAGGACCAGGUGUUUCAUGUGGUAGCCGGGAAGGAUAGCAAGAGGAAGGAUAGCAGAUUCUGGAGUGCAAACACAUCCCCAGACAGAAUCAGGAGGGCUCCCCUCAUCCUGUCGACAGCUGGAAAUUCUUUCUGCUCUUCUACAAGUUGAGUGUUACAAACAGGAGACUUUUCAAGCCCAGUCCCAAACACAGGAAUUCGUCCCUCGUCAGUCUGUCUCCUGGGCCCCAUUGAGACAGCUGGACUUCCCACGCAAGUGAAAGCAUUCAACUGGGAGUGCCUUUUCCUGGGUCAGCCUGUUCCAGCUUACCCUUGAAGGAGACCAUCAGCUCCUUAAGAGCAACAGCUAUUUUUCUGUCCCAAGUUGUGUAGAAUGCAGUGUAGAGCACUUUUAAAAUGUCCAUUUUGGCUAUUAGCAGCAAUCAAUGCAAUCUAUACCAGCUCAGGUUGGCAUGAUAAUUUUAUUUACUUAGCCAGUCCUUUGAAAUUCACAGCAAGGAUAUGAGCCUUAUGCAUGAUCCUCCCACUGGUUUUCGUACAGGUGAAUGAACCGAUUCCUUAUUGCUGAAAAAAAAAAAUCUUACACUGGACUUGGAGUCAGGCCACAGCUAGACUGGAAGCAAGGAGACUGGAAAGCAAACGUGGACCUGACAGGCUCUGUCAUGUCCCAGGCCUAAUCUGGUGGGAGUCCUGAGAACAGCCUGUGCUGUGUGUGCCCAGGUGCAAAGAAUAUGUAAACCUUUCUCAAGUGAAAAAGCUUAGCUUUUUCCAAAUUCCCAUUUGAGACUGCCUGUGCGACUGCACAGUGUGCACACUCAUGCAGAUAGGUGGAGUCCUAUUCAACUUCUACAAAACACACUAAUUUGUUGAUUUGUUUUAUUUCUAUAUGGUACCUUUCCUCCUAG
rnacentral:lncRNA from 1 species